CCUACGGGCUGCACCAGUGGGGAAUAUUGCACAAUGGGCGCAAGCCUGAUGCAGCCAUGCUGCGUGUAUGAAGAAGGCCUUCGGGUUGUAAAGUACUUUCAGCGGGGAGGAAGGCGAUAAGGUUAAUAACCUUGUCGAUUGACGUUACCCGCAGAAGAAGCACCGGCUAACUCCGUGCCAGCAGCCGCGGUAAUACGGAGGGUGCAUGCGUUAAUCGGAAUUACUGGGCGUAAAGCGCACGCAGGCGGUCUGUCAAGUCGGAUGUGAAAUCCCCGGGCUCAGCCUGGGAACUGCAUUCGAAACUGGCAGGCUAAAGUCUUGUAGAGGGGGGUGGAAUUCCAGGUGUAGCGGUGAAAUGCGUAGAGAUCUGGAGGAAUACCGGUGGCGAAGGCGGCCCCCUGGACAAAGACUGACGCUCAGGUGCGAAAGCGUGGGGAGCAAACAGGAUUAGAUACCCUCGUAGUC
rnacentral:rRNA from 1 species